rnacentral:lncRNA from 1 species
AAAGGCCCUCCCAGAGGGUGGCCGGCAGCCUCUGCAUCUCCACCCUGGGCCUGUGGGACCACGCGGGGCUCUCAGACGGCUUCCCACUGGCUGUGGGCUGAAGACAGGAGGGAGGUGCGCAGAGAUGAGGAUGAGGUGCCCUAGGAGGGGCCCCUCUCCAGCCUGGAGUGUCCACUGCAAGUGGAGUCCUAGACGGCGGUGGGCAGCCAGUAGUCACUAAAGAGUCUGACACGACAUGUCACAAGCCCUGCCCGGAACCCUGUUCCCACAAAUGGUGGGGAAGGACCACCCCUGGUCUCCAGAAAUGAAUCUGAAAAUUCGCUGGUUUGGGAGCCGUGAGAGCAGCUCCGUCAUUUGUUCGACCCCCGUUCAGGGAGUAUUUCCUGGGAGCCUCUAAGUGCAUCUGCGGAGAAGGCUGGAAAGCAGGGCCCUGCUGGUCCAGAAGCUCUGACAAGCAGCGGGAAGCUACUGGAGCCCAGCGUGGUCCCGCAGGCCCGGGGUGGAGACUCAGGGGCUGGUCGGUGCCACUCGUGGUCCCCCAGGCCAGAGCAGCCCAGGCCUCUGCUGGAAACUCAAGCGCUCUCUGAUUUAAAUGAAGACGCCUUGAAGAGCUCCGGCUGUCCUGGAUGGAUGAAGCAGCAUAGGCAUGACUUGGAAGGAUGUGCGGUGGAAGGGGGGUCGCUUCACUGCCAAGAAACCCUUCCUGAGUCUUCUGGAAAUUUCAGGAAAGGCUGCUCAUCCCAGGAGGCUGAAAAAGUAUGGCUGUGUGUUGGGUGGGCCUAAUGCAGGGCAGCGGCCAGGCUGGCACUCAAGUGUGUGUGUGUGUAUGUGAGUGUGAGUGCAAGAGUGUGUGUGUCUGUCUGUGAGUGUGUGAGACUGUGUGUGACUGUGUGUCUGUGUGUGAGAGUGUGUCUAUGAGUGUAUGUCUGUAAGAGUGUAUGUAUGAGUGUGUGACAGUGUGUGUGAGCAUAUGUGAGUAUGUAUGUGUGUCUGUGAAAGUGUGAGUGUGAGUGAGCAUGAGUGCGUGUCUGUGAGAGUGUGUAUGUGAGAGUGUGUUGUGUCUGUGAGAGCAUGUGUGUGAACGUGUUUAUGUAUGUGAGUGUGUAUGCAUCUGUGAGUGUGUCUGUGAAAGUGUGUGUGAGGAUGAGUGUGUGUCUGUGAGCAUGUGUCUGUGAGAGCAUGUGUGUAUGUGUGUGAGUGUGUAUGUAUCUGUGAGUGCGUCUGUGAAUGUGUAUAUGAGUGAGCAGGAGUGUGUGUGUGGUCUGUGAGUGUGUGAGCGUGUGAGAGUAUGUAUUUGAUUGUGUAUCUGAGACUGUGCAAGUGUGUGUGUGCCUGUGUGCAAGUGUGAGUGUGUGUGUCUGUGUGUAAGUGUGAGUGUGUGUGAGUUUGUGUGUUCAUAUGUGAGUUUAUCUUCCGUGAGAAUUUUAGGCGAAACUGAGGAGAACCGCAGUCAUCUGACGUUGUCAUGAUGGCUGAAGUCCAGGUCUCAGAUCUGGGUGGAAGCACUGGGUCUGAAUAGUGACCAUCUCAUCACAGUUGUCUCCUGAGACUCCCAUUCCCGGGAAGGAGAGUACUUGCCAGGGAAGCCAGCAGCACUCUGGGCGAACGUGUGCCCCUCAAGAGUGGCCGCAGGCUGUAGCAGGAUCCAGAGGAGAGGCGGGGCCGAGGCCCAGUCAGGGUCUCUGCAGGGUCCCUGCAGAGGCAGGGCCUCUGGGAGCCUGGGGGACCCGGGACAGGGAGGUGAAGGAGGAGUAACAGCAGGUGCGAGGCACCAAUGGCCAAUGUGGAAAUUAUGAGUGGGCGCUCCAGCUUCGUCUGCUGAGACCUCUCGCUCACUUCUCUGCGUCUUCACCCUUCCCCUCCUCCCCGGCGCCCCUGCCCUCUGUUAAUGCCAUUAACAGUGGGCGUUAUGUGUGGCACGGCAAGGCCAUGCUCUAAAACACGCGCCUGGGUCCUGAUGAGCCUGCGCUCUCCCUGUGUUUUGGGCGCUGCCUUCAGAGCAUGUUGGUAGUGAGAUGUGGAAGGCCACGCAGCUGUAGUGCACUCACUGUCGCAGCCUAACGGUGCCACACGGACCCGUAAGAGGACGCACAACUGUCAGCUGACUCCGUCACUGGGAAAAACAACACGGGUACAUUGUCUGCGAUUGCUGUCACUCUGAUACAUGAGAAAUACAUGGGAGGGAGUUUGAAAUGACAUUGAAUGAACUUGAGCAUACCUGGUCUUUGGCCUACUUUCCUGUAAGUUUAUGGUCUUUUUCUUCUCCAUUCUUGAAAACUCUUUUUCCAUUCAGUAUAUUACCCACUUUGUCGAAAUAUACAUAGAAAUGAUUUCUUCUCUCGGUUUGCUACUUAUCUUUCGAAUUUCAUUAUGGUGAUUUAUUUUUACCAUAAAAAUUAAAAAAAUUGUAAUUGCAUUUUUAAAUAUUUCAUUGCUUUUGAAUUUUCAAUCAUAAAAGUUUAUCUCCACUCCUAUGUUAGGGUGGAAUCAAUCACAUGCUUCUGGCAAAUUAAGAUCUCUCAUAAAUUUACAGUUCUUUCUAUUUUUAUGUUUUUAUAGACAGGGUCUCACUCUGCUGCCUAGGCUGCAAUGCGGUGGCACGACCAUGGCUCAGUGCGUCCUCAACUCCUGGGCUCAAGUGAUCCUCCCACCUCGGCCUCCUGAGUAGCUGGGACUACAGUUGCACACCACCAGAUCCGACUAAUUUGCAGUUCUGUCCGGCGUACAGUGUGAGAUGGGAAUCAACUUUUGUCUUCAUCCAGAUGGGGUUUUAAAACCUUACAAUGCUGGCCGGACGCGGUGGCUCAUGCCUGUAAUCCCAACACUUUGGGAGGUUGAGGCAGGUGGAUCACCUGAGGUCAGGAGUUCAAGACCAGCCUGGCCAACAUGGUAAAACCCAUCUCUACUAAAACUACAAAAAUUAGCCAGGCAUAGUGGCGAGUGUCUGUAGUCCCAGCUACUCGGGAGGCUGAGGCAGGAGAAUCGCUUGAACCCAGGAGAUGGAGGUUGCAGUGAGCCAAGCAAGAUCAAGCUACUGCACUCCAGCCUGGGCAACAGAGCGAGACUCCAUCUCAAAACAAACAAACAAACAGAAAAACUUUACAAUGCUGAUAAACUUAAAAAUUAUGAAACACAGCUCUUCUUGUCCUCCUGGGGCGCCCCCCAUCACCCCCAUCACAGCCCAGCCUUCUUCUGCUCCUCUCUGUUCUGAGGGAACUUCCCAUCCUUGUCUUUUUAUGGCCGUCUCAGCAUUUUCCCAGGUGUGUGGCUGUCCCUAAGUUAACCCCGGUUUAGCACACGGGAUGUGAUGCUGAGUGAUGGGAGUUCCUCAGAUAAAAGUGGCGGAUCUUCUUUGACUCAUCUUUUCCUUCCUCCCUCUCUAUCUCAAAUUAGAGUGAGAUCAAAUAUAGUGAAAAUGUUACUAGAGACUUUGGGUUUUAAAUCUCUGUAAACCCAGUGAAACACACUAUUUCUGGGGUGUGCACGAUGUGGUCAGUUAGUUACAAAUGCCUUUUUAUCUAGUGAGAGGUGUUUGGGCAAUCCAUGUGCACACAGAGGAGCGUUUCUGGUGAUUUGAUCAAAUCCAAGUGAGCUAGCUCGUUAGUACCUGUGGCAAGUUUAGAACUUCUGAACUCACAAACAUAUUAAGAAAUUUCCUAGGUUCACAGUGAUUUUUGGUAAACAUGAAUUUAAGUACCAAAAGAGGCAGAAUAAUAGUUUGCAAAGUUGUGUUUCCUUUGAGCUUCUGACUCAAAAGUUACAUCAAAGAUGUCCCUGCCUACCCUUAAUAUUUAAGUAAUGGAAUAAAGCUUAAGGGCCCCGAGACUCAGGAGGAUGCCCACAGGGAGAGGCAGGUAGCGCAGCACCUGGCAUUUAGUGGCUCAGCCCUGGAAUGCUAGAGCCUUGGGUUUUCCUUACAAUUGGGAUGGGAUUGGCCACACCUAUCAACAAUUUCUGUUCACUAGCCAAUUAUAAGAAGUUUAUGCAUGCCUAGACCAUUAAAAAAAAAGAAAAGAAACGUUCGGGGGGCCUGACUUUGUUAGCAUGGCCAAAUGAUCUGUUUUUAAUGUAAAUAUUUUGCUACAUUAAAGUUAUCAAAUCAAAG